AGAGGUUGAUUCUGGCUCAGGAUGAACGCUAGCUACAGGCUUAACACAUGCAAGUCGAGGGGCAGCAUUUCAGUUUGCUUGCAAACUGGAGAUGGCGACCGGCGCACGGGUGAGUAGCACGUAUCCAACCUGCCGAUAACUCGGGGAUAGCCUUUCGAAAGAAAGAUUAAUACCCGAUGGCAUAAUUAGACCGCAUGGUCUUAUUAUUAAAGAAUUUCGGUUAUCGAUGGGGAUGCGUUCCAUUAGGCAGUUGGUGAGGUAACGGCUCACCAAACCUUCGAUGGAUAGGGGUUCUGAGAGGAAGGUCCCCCACAUUGAAACUGAGACACGGUCCAAACUCCUACGGGAGGCAGCAGUGAGGAAUAUUGGUCAAUGGACGAGAGUCUGAACCAGCCAAGUAGCGUGAAAGAUGACUGCCCUAUGGGUUGUAAACUUCUUUUAUAUGGGAAUAAAGUUUUCCACGUGUGGAAUUUUGUAUGUACCAUAUGAAUAAGGAUCGGCUAACUCCGUGCCAGCAGCCGCGGUAAUACGGAGGAUCCGAGCGUUAUCCGGAUUUAUUGGGUUUAAAGGGAGCGUAGGUGGACAGUUAAGUCAGUUGUGAAAGUUUGCGGCUCAACCGUAAAAUUGCAGUUGAUACUGGCUGUCUUGAGUACAGUAGAGGUGGGCGGAAUUCGUGGUGUAGCGGUGAAAUGCUUAGAUAUCACGAAGAACUCCGAUUGCGAAGGCAGCUCACUGGACUGCAACUGACACUGAUGCUCGAAAGUGUGGGUAUCGAACAGGAUUAGAUACCCUGGUAGUCCACACAGUAAACGA
rnacentral:rRNA from 1 species